GCACUCACUCCAUCCUGCCACCCUGUGAAGAGGUGCCUGUUUCUCUUUUGCCUUCUGUCAUGAUUAUUCUCACUGUGUUACCUAGGCUGCAGUGCAGUGGUGCGAUCUCAACUCACUGCAACCUCUACCUCCUGGGUUCAAGCAAUUCUCCUGCCUCAGCCUCCCAAGUAGCUGGGAUUACAGAGCUCAUGGUUUUUAAACAACUUGUGGUAAAAAUCUGGUGGAAAAGAUAACAACAGUAUAUGAUAUGGCAGAGUUGCACAGAAGAAUCAGAACAUUGUUUUAGAGAAACGUUGGGCAAUUAAUUAAGCCAGCUGAUUAAGUUUUAAAGAAGCUAAACCAUAUCAUGUCGAAAUCAGAGGAGCGAUGAAAGUGUGAGUGGUGGUAUUUCUGCUGUUCUCCCCCCUGAAGGCUUCUGCGAUUAGCUUCUAUGCCUUCCUUCCCUUAUGGGCAUUCAGAUCCAAACUACUUGCAACUGUAGACAAGGAGGAAGAUGGAACUUGGAGAAGACAUACAGGCUGAAGAAAAAAAAAUAUUUUGGAAGUGAUCAGCACAUUCUAAUUGACCAUGGAUGCUCUCUGCAUUCAUGUGGUAACCCAGGGAGAGUAUGGAGUGAAAAGAGGAUCACCAAAGAAACUUGGGGUAUCUC
rnacentral:lncRNA from 10 species